rnacentral:rRNA from 1 species
UUUAAUUUAAGAGUUUGAUCCUGGCUCAGGAUGAACGCUGGCGGCGUGCUUAACACAUGCAAGU